AACCACUCUGCUACCCAAUUUUUCUUCGCUUCGACUUCAACUCAAAACUCAUGACAGCAGGCGAUUGCUGUCAGUUUUUGUACUUCUUAGAUGGGCACUUGAAAAUACAAAUUGAAGAGUAUGAAACAUUUGGAGUUCCCAUAUCAUAUCAAAAAUAUGUUGAAUCAGAUUCAGGUGAUAUCCCACUCAAAUCUGUGAAAGGGCAACUACAUUCGCCAGCUCUAUGCUAGCAAUCAUCAAUAUCAGCUUUAUGCUAGCAAUCAUCAACUACAUUUCCACUUUGUUACUGUUUUAUGGAACGGUUGGCUUGAGAGAAAUAGGAAAGCUUUUAAAGGGGUCGAGAACCUUUAGGAAGAAGAGUGUUCCACAAUGAAGCUCAAUAACUUCUCUAGGGAGUCGGUAACCCUAAGUUUUGUGAUUGUCCUUCGCUUUUUUUCUAAACAAUUAUAGCCAUUUGUUGUCUCGUUCGUUGUUUUGUAGUUAGUCUCUAUAUGGAUCAUUUCUAUUCUUUCAUUGGUUCAACGAAAGCUCAUCAAA